UGACUUAUCUGGAUUCAGUUGUCUUGUCUGGUGUGUGUCAUGGUUGUUCAAGAAGCUGCAAUUUGACCUGAAUGCUUUCCUGCACAGGAAAUAAAUCGGUCCGAAGACCGAACCGAGAGGGAUGCCUUACACAGCGAGAUCAGCAGUCUGCAACAGUUACUGUACAAUAUUAAUCAGGUUUACUAAAUGUGAUUAUUGGGCAUGAUAUUUUGGGCCAGAUGUACUAAACAUGAGAAGAGUAAUUGUCAACUCAUCUUUUCUUUUCUCUUUUAGGUGGUCAGUGGCGACAGUUCCUCAGACACAUCAAAAGAUGAACACCCAUCUGUUUCUGCAGGAUCUAUUUCCUCUUCUCAAUGAGACGAUAUUCUGAUAGCUUUGCAGAGAGUGCUCUUACAGCGGCAGGCACAAAUUCAAGUUUGCAACAAACCUCAUGUACACCCUCCUUAUAUGGCACAGGUGUCAUCACUCCUAGUGGUACAGAAAUUACACACCUCACUAUAUCUUCCAAAUAGUUUACUCUGCUAUCAAAAAAGCGUAUGUAAUUUCAGUAAAUUUAACUAAAUGAAAAUAUCUAUCCACCCAAAGGAGCUGCAAGCACAUCUGGAAGCUUCCCAAGAGCAGGUUGCCACCUUGCAAAAUCAGCUGAAUGUGGAGGAAGAUGAAUCCAGAAGCCUGGAACAAAGAAUCCGGGAACUGCAGCAAGAGAAUCAACCAUUGGAGAGAUCUGAGGAGGACAGCACCAGAGAUGCCCAAAGAUACCGCACCUCACUAGGCAUAGUAACCAGUGAAAAAAAAGAGAGCUUGAGAGGCAGGUCUCUGCCCUGCAGCAGCAGCUGGAAUGCACACAAGCAGGGCAGGAAGCUUUGAGAAGCUCUUCGCUGGAUGUUCAGAGGCAGAGAGACCUCCUCAGGCAGCAGAGGGAGGACCUGGAGAGGCAGCUGGCCCAAGAAUGCUCUGAAUCCGAGAGGGGGUACGGCAUUGCGAAACCUCAAACCCCUUGACUUCCUUCUUGGCCCCUGUUUAUUUCCCUGUCCUAUUGUUUACAGUCAGUAUCACUAGCACAUGUUGUCCUUAAAGUAGCCUUGAAUCAAACCAGAAUAGUAUUGUUUACAAAAUGCAUUAAACAAGAAGAUGCAUAAUGUAUUGGUUUACUGGUUAGGUCAAAGGUGACAACCCUGAUCAUGUGUUAUUAUGUACUGUAUAUGGAUAAGAAUGUUUUUGGAUGUAAUCUUUAACCUAAAGUCUUUUUUUCUGCUCUGAUGAAGGAAUGUCUUUUAGGAGUGUGUUUAUAGAAAUAUCUCUGCUUGUUUGUGUUUGUGAACAUGAGUAUGUGCCUUUACCUUAACCUUAACAUUGUUUACUUUAAAAUUAGGUUUGUUUGUGUAGUACAUUUCCUGUGAAAUAAUUUGGUUGCUUUAUGCCAUAGUGUGCCUAGGUUUUCAUUGUUUUAGUGCUGACUUGUCCAUUUCUACAGAUCAAAAUGUUUGUAUUUACGUCUUGACAGUUAGUGUAUAUUUGUGUUAUUCUAUAGACAACAUACUCUGUAGCAGU
rnacentral:lncRNA from 1 species